GUUAUGAAACAAGAGAAGGACUUAAUGUCACGGUACCCAAUUUUCUGCCCCGGACUCCACGGCUGUUACUAGAGGUUAUGAAACAAGAGAAGGACUUAAUGUCACGGUAC
rnacentral:misc_RNA from 1 species